AUGACAACAAGUACGAGGUCGUCAAGUUUGUUCAAUCGCACACGCACCAAACUUGUCUCACCAAGUAAGAGGCAUCUCAUCAGGUCAAAUAGAGAGGUAACUAGUGAUUUGAGAAACAAAUUAUUUACAUGCAGUAAGGCAUUGCUUGGCACUUCAAAAACUUUUCGCUUGCUUAGCAUAGAGAAGGGUGGGCCAGAAAAUAUCGGUUGCACAAAACAUGACUUACAAAACUGUCAACGUGAUUUCAAGGCAGCGAUUAAGGGAGUAGAUGGACAACUUAUAGUAGAUAUAAUGGAAAAUAAAAAAAGGCCAAUCUAG
rnacentral:rRNA from 1 species